UUUAGUUUUAAAACAUUGCCAGUGUAGCAGGACUAGGUUCAUGCCCCUUUUAGUUAGCUUGGCAGUGCCCUUCUGAGUGGCUCUGGGCAAUUGGAGGUGAGCCAAUCAGUACGUGGGAGCGGCUAUAAAGUCUUAGCUUUUAUUUUGAAGGCUGACGUCGUAGCUCCAUUGUUUGCCUGACUCCAGCCUUCACCGCUCCCCGUAUUGGCUUCUCCUCUGACCGGUUCCGUGUGUCCGCCGACUUCUCGGAGUGCAGCUAGCCGCUGAACAUGGGCCUUAUGACUGACCACACCUGAGCGCAGAUCUCGGGCGUAACAGGGAGCGGCAACAUCAAGGCAUCUUGGUUCCAGUUCAAACGCUACUGUUUUGUUUUGUUUUGUGUUUGUUUUGUGUGUCUCAUUCCGUUUGUUGAAUCGGCUGUGUUAGCCACCACUAAGUUGAUUAACUGAAGUGACGACAGGUGUGUUACUGUUUGCUCACUGAGUGACUACGUAUUCAGUCCGGUUGCGGAGGCUAUUAGCUUGUUACACUGCAUGUCCUGAGUGUCACCAUUCCCUGCGUGUAGUGAUUGCGGUGAUUUACACUGUUUGCCGUGACAAUUUGAUGCAUUUGAUGUGCUAUUUAUUCACUAGUGUCUCAUUCCUGGAAUAGCCACCUCUACUGACUUUAGCGAACCCACACUGGAGAGUACUAGCGAACCCACACUGGAGAGUACUAUACUGACUUGAGCGAACCCACACUGGAGAGAACUCAAUCCUUAUGUUUUUAAUGUGAAUAAAUAAGAGUUUAUUUUUGGA